UACGAAGGGGGCUAGCGUUGUUCGGAUUUACUGGGCGUAAAGCGCACGUAGGCGGAUUGUUAAGUCAGGGGUGAAAUCCUGGAGCUCAACUCCAGAACUGCCUUUGAUACUGGCAAUCUUGGGUCCGGAAGAGGUGAGUGGAACUCCUAGUGUAGAGGUGGAAUUCGUAGAUAUUAGGAAGAACACCAGUGGCGAAGGCGGCUCACUGGUCCGGUACUGACGCUGAGGUGCGAAAGCGUGGGGAGCAAACAGG
rnacentral:rRNA from 1 species